rnacentral:lncRNA from 1 species
AAUUUCACCUGAAUCAUAAGUGAGAAACUAACACGAAAGAGCUAGGGUACCAAUAACAGCACUGACGGAAACUUUAAAAACCCACGCAAACUGGGAGUGAGCAGAAAGCGUGGUUUUACUUUGACUGGAAAUCUUGCCGUUCUUCAGAAAUCAAGCAAACAUUGGACUAUGACUACACAUCCACAAUGGUUUUAUCGUGUUUAAUCGCUCUAACAGCAAACCAAAGUAAAAACAAGCCCUUUGAUCAAGUACAAGGUCCUGAUGGUCUUUCUCUUCAUUACCAAGUAUUCGUAACAGUGCUGUGUUUUGGCCUGCUGGGAUUGUUAGUAACUGUUUUAGUGGUGCAUAUGAAGACCAGGAAAAAAAAACGCACCUCCACCAGUGAAGAAUAAGAGAGGAUCAUGGAUCAUGGAUAAGAGAGGAUCAUUGUUGUUGUUGUUCAAAUAAAUAUAUAAGAACCCUUGAAACUCCA